rnacentral:rRNA from 1 species
AGUGAACGCUGGCGGUAGGCCUAACACAUGCAAGUCGAACGGCAGCACAGAGGAGCUUGCUCCUUGGGUGGCGAGUGGCGGACGGGUGAGGAAUACAUCGGAAUCUACUCUGUCGUGGGGGAUAACGUAGGGAAACUUACGCUAAUACCACAUACGACCUACGGGUGAAAGCAGGGGAUCUUCGGACCUUGCGCGAUUGAAUGAGCCGAUGUCGGAUUAGCUAGUUGGCGGGGUAAAGGCCCACCAAGGCGACGAUCCGUAGCUGGUCUGAGAGGAUGAUCAGCCACACUGGAACUGAGACACGGUCCAGACUCCUACGGGAGGCAGCAGUGGGGAAUCUUGCACAAUGGGGGAAACCCUGAUGCAGCGACGCCGCGUGGGUGAUGAAGUCCUUCGGGAUGUAAAGCCCUUUCGACGGGAACGAUAAUGACGGUACCCGGAGAAGAAGCUGCGGCUAACUACGUGC